CAAUACUCAGGACUGAGUCUACCCCUGCAACCCAAGAGAGUUGACAGGCAGCAGCAGUAUCCACCUUCCAGACACCACCAUGCCAUCGCCUGCAGGACUGUACUUUGAGCCUGAACCAACGUCUUCCACACCCAGUUAUUUUCAGGCCCGAGAGUUUUCCACCUGUGUCUCUUGUGAAGAAAACCCUAGCUGCCUGGACCAGAUCUUCGAGUCCUACCUUCAGACUGACACACCCCCGGAGCCCUUGCUCAACUCUGCACAAAUCGCUCCCCACUAUUUCCCAGAGAGCUGUCCAGUGGCCUCUUUCUGCCAUAACCUGAUGCCAGGCUCGCCUUCGGAUUCCUCCAGUCUCUCUGGCUCCUAUGACUGCAGCUACUCACCAGCUCAGCUGCCUGCUUAUACUCCAGAAAAUUACACGUUUCCACCUUCUCUGGAUUCCCUAUACUCCAGCCUCCCAGAAGAAGGCUACUUCUGCCAGCAUUGGCCUUCUCACCCCCAGUACAACCACUCCUCCCCUACCACCCCCUCCUCGGUCUGCUACUACGCAUCCUGUGAAGCAGAACAUUUGGAUGCCCUCAGGACCACAGAGCUCUUCUCCUACCCCGGCAUGGACUGUAUGGACUUUGCCCCUUCAGCGGCCACCACUGGCGAUUUCUAUAAGAGGGAAACAAGCUGCGAUGCCUGCUAUAGUUAGUAGGAACCACACUGGAAUGUGUCAUGGGGGUUUCUGUUUCUAGAUGACAGUUCAACGCAUUCACAAACUACCCCACAUAUGGUUUACAUUUCACCAUUUUCAAUCACCCUGUAGCUAGUGUGGGAAUUGACACAAUGCCCUCAAGCCUGGUCUCAUGACAGUCUUAUUUUAUAUACUCACUGUUAAAUUUUUUUGUAUGGAUUGUUUUUUUCCCAGUGCCUUCCUUCUUAGUAUAAAGAACAAACUUUUUUGUAAACGAAUAAAUAACUUUGUAUAAU
rnacentral:lncRNA from 1 species